AGGAAUUGAAACUGGAAAUUACACCUCAAAUGCUUUGAAUGCUUAAACACUUAAAAUCUAAAAAUUAAUUUGCUCUGAACUCUGUAAAAUAUGGCGUCCUCUAAAACAGAGUUAGACUCUCUUAUUUAUAGGCGAACGUUUGCAACAACUUUUCCUCCAAUUCAUUCGGGAUUCAGUUGAGAAUCGUGUGGCGUAAGAGUAGGAAUGGAUGAUCGUG
rnacentral:lncRNA from 1 species